CCUACGGGAGGCAGCAGUAGGGAAUCUUCCACAAUGGGCGAAAGCCUGAUGGAGCAACGCCGCGUGAGUGAUGAAGGCCUUCGGGUUGUAAAACUCUGUCAUUCGGGACGAACCGGAGUCUGAGGAAAUGCAGACUCUCUGACGGUACCGGAGGAGGAAGCCCCGGCUAACUACGUGCCAGCAGCCGCGGUAAUACGUAGGGGGCAAGCGUUGUCCGGAUUCACUGGGCGUAAAGCGCGCGCAGGCGGUGAUGUAAGUCUGAGGUGAAAACCCGAAGCUCAACUUCGGGACUGCCUUGGAUACUGCGUCACUUGAGGAUAGGAGAGGCAAGGGGAAUUCCACGUGUAGCGGUGAAAUGCGUAGAGAUGUGGAGGAACACCUGUGGCGAAGGCGCCUUGCUGGCCUAUUUCUGACGCUGAGGCGCGAAAGCGUGGGGAGCAAACAGGAUUAGAUACCCUGGUAGUCCACGCUGUAAACGAUGAGUGCUAGGUGUAGGUGGGCUCAUACCCAUCUGUUGCCGAAGCUAACGCAUUAAGCACUCCGCCUGGGGAGUACGGUCGCGAGACUGAACUCAAAGGAAUUGACGG
rnacentral:rRNA from 1 species